AGCUAUUUAGUUUAUUUAGAAUGUUUGUUUGUGGUAUAAAAGGUUUUGUAGCUA
rnacentral:tRNA from 1 species